rnacentral:rRNA from 1 species
GGGCCCGCACAAGCGGUGGAGUAUGUGGUUUAAUUCGAUGCAACGCGAAGAACCUUACCAGGGUUUGACAUCCUGCGAAUCUCUUGGAAACGAGAGAGUGCCUUCGGGGACGCAGUGACAGGUGCUGCAUGGCUGUCGUCAGCUCGUGUCGUGAGAUGUUCGGUUAAGUCCGGCAACGAGCGCAACCCACAUCCCUAGUUGCCAGCAGUUCGGCUGGGCACUCUAUGGAAACUGCCCGUGAUAAGCGGGAGGAAGGUGUGGAUGACGUCAAGUCCUCAUGGCCCUUACGGGUUGGGCUACACACGUGCUACAAUGGUAGUGACAAUGGGUUAAUCCCAAAAAGCUAUCUCAGUUCGGAUUGUCGUCUGCAACUCGACGGCAUGAAGUCGGAAUCGCUAGUAAUCG